UCUUUAGGAAUUUGAAUAGAAUUAGAAAAACCUAGGAUAAGGCACAACGCUUUGGAUCAUUUUAUUAUUCUUUAUUUGGGGGCACUUUUUUUCUUUCUUGGGGAUUAACGGAGUAAACGCCUUCUAUAUUUGGGACUUUUUUUUUCAUUUACGUAUUUAUUUAAUAAAAGUUUUUUUGAGAUUCAAAAUCAUGUUUCACUCUUCACCUUGGUAUUCAUUAAUUCUUCGAUUUAUGAGAAAGAUAAGAUCACCUCAUUAGUAUUGUUG
rnacentral:lncRNA from 1 species